UAAGUGGAUAGUGAAACCUGGUGGCUCAACCAUUCAGACUAUUAUCCAAACUGGUAAGCUCGAGAGUAGUAGAGGUACCUGGAAUUUCUCGUGUAGGAGUGAAAUCCGUAGAUAUGAGAAGGAACACCAAUGGCGUAGGCAGGGUACUGGGCUAUUUCUGACGCUAAGGCACGAAAGCGUGGGGAGCGAACCGGAUUAGAUACCCGGGUAGUCCACGCCGUAAACGAUGGAUGCUA
rnacentral:rRNA from 1 species